AUUGAACGCUGGCGGCAGGCCUAACACAUGCAAGUCGAGCGAGCGGCGGGCGGGUGAGUAAUGUAUGGGGACUGCCCGAUAGAGGGGGAUAACUACUGGAAACGGUAGCUAAUACCGCAUCCUAUCGGAUAACCUAGAUGGGAUUAGCUAGGUGGUGAGGUAAUGGCUUACCAAGGCGACGAUCCCUAGCUGGUCUGAGAGGAUGAUCAGCCACACUGGGACUGAGACACGGUCCAGACUCCUACGGAGGCAGCAGUGGGGAAUAUUGCACAAUGGGCGAAAGCCUGAUGCAGCCAUGCCGCGUGUAUGAAGAAGGUCUUAGGGUUGUAAAGUACUUUCAGUAGGGAGGCGUUACCGACAGAAGAAGCACCGGCUAACUCCGUGCCAGCAGCCGCGGUAAUAC
rnacentral:rRNA from 1 species